rnacentral:ncRNA from 1 species
AGAAACACGUUGAAGAGAAGAGUAAACUGUGGAAGGCUCCAGAGAGAAAUACAUUUGCUGAGAGUAUUUCAGCGGGAAACAGUCGAAGACCAUCUCCGAGUGGCCCUAAUCCGGUCCGGUGAUUCCGUUACCAUCUUAUAAGAGUGGCUGAGCUGCCAUAUGGCAGAUGCAGCAAGCAGGGUGGAACCGCGAGUAGAUUAUUCGUCCCUUAC